AGGUUUAGUCAGCUGCUGCGGCCUGGACAAACACCAGCUCUCACCUUAAAAACCAAACAGGUGUCACCACUUCAUCCAUGAUCAGAGUCCAUGAUCAUACAGCGAAGUUCUUUGAGACCAGGACUGAGGCCUCCAGGAUUCAACAACCACUAAAGCACAGAGAGAAGAGACAGAGACGUGGAGACAUUUCCAGAAGGUCUUCAGCUGCUGACAUCUUCUCCUCCUGCAGAGAAAAAAAAACCAAAAUAUUUUUAUGACAUACUAUUCUGACAUUUUUUGACAGUUUUUAUGCCUUACAACUUCUUAUCCUAAUGUAGCCAUCCUACCUUCACUUUCCACACUCACACCUCUAUACAGUGUUUGUGGGUUAGGUCAGAUUUUCAUUUUUAUAUUUUGCUAUUUCAAACAGUGCAAUAUCAGUGCUCAAAAUCCAAUCUAUUACUCUGUACACAGUCCUGUUCAUACUGUGUAUCAUUUUUAUAUAUUGUAGUAUAUUACCUUGUUUUAUGUCUUGGAGAUAUAAUGUCCUUUUGUAUUUUUACUGUUGCAACACUGAAUUUGAUAAAGGAUUAUCUUACUCAAAUAUAUACUUCUGAAUACUGAGUAUUUUG